UCCAGGCCCUACGGGGCGCAGCAGGCGCGAAAACUACGCACUGCGCGAAAGCGCGACGUGGGAAACCCGAGUGCCUUUUCUUUUUUUGAAAAAGGCUUUUCUCAAGCCUAAAAAGCUUGGGGAAUAAGAGCUGGGCAAGACGGGUG
rnacentral:rRNA from 1 species